CUUGUCAAACCUGGUGACUCUAGAGCUGAGGGAGAAUCUACUGAAAUCUUUGCCCUCCUCUCUUUCCUUCCUGGUUAAACUGGAACAGCUGGAUCUGGGAAGCAAUGUACUGGAAGUUUUGCCUGACACACUUGGGGCACUGCCCAAUCUUCGUG